rnacentral:misc_RNA from 1 species
UGAGUUUACGCUCUACAACCCUUUGUGAACAUACCUAUAACUGUUGCUUCGGCGGGUAGGGUCUCCGUGACCCUCCCGGCCUCCCGCCCCCGGGCGGGUCGGCGCCCGCCGGAGGAUAACCAAACUCUGAUUUAACGACGUUUCUUCUGAGUGGUACAAGCAAAUAAUCAAAACUUUUAACAACGGAUCUCUUGGUUCUGGCAUCGAUGAAGAACGCAGCGAAAUGCGAUAAGUAAUGUGAAUUGCAGAAAUUCAGUGAAUCAUCGAAUCUUUGAACGCACAUUGCGCCCGCCAGCAUUCUGGCGGGCAUGCCUGUUCGAGCGUCAUUUCAACCCUCAAGCUCUGCUUGGUGUUGGGGCCCUACAGCUGAUGUAGGCCCUCAAAGGUAGUGGCGGACCCUCCCGGAGCCUCCUUUGCGUAGUAACUUUACGUCUCGCACUGGGAUCCGGAGGGACUCUUGCCGUAAAACCCCCAAUUUUCCAAAGGUUGACCUCGGAUCAGGUAGGAAUACCCGCUGAACUUAAGCAUAUCAAUAAGCGGAGGAAAAGAAACCAACAGGGAUUGCCUCAGUAACGGCGAGUGAAGCGGCAACAGCUCAAAUUUGAAAUCUGGCCCUAGGCCCGAGUUGUAAUUUGCAGAGGAUGCUUUUGGUGCGGUGCCUUCCAAGUUCCCUAGAACGGGACGCCAGAGAGGGUGAGAGCCCCGUACAGUUGGACACCAAGCCUUUGUAAAGCUCCUUCGACGAGUCGAGUAGUUUGGGAAUGCUGCUCAAAAUGGGAGGUAUAUUUCUUCUAAAGCUAAAUACCGGCCAGAGACCGAUAGCGCACAAGUAGAGUGAUCGAAAGAUGAAAAGCACUUUGAAAAGAGGGUUAAACAGCACGUGAAAUUGUUAAAAGGGAAGCGCUUGUGACCAGACUUGCGUCCGGUGAAUCACCCAGCUCUCGCGGCUGGGGCACUUCGCCGGCUCAGGCCAGCAUCAGCUCGCUGUCGGGGACAAAAGCUUCAGGAACGUAGCUCUCUUCGGGGAGUGUUAUAGCCUGUUGCAUAAUACCCUUCGGCGGGCUGAGGUACGC